rnacentral:rRNA from 1 species
GACGAACGCUGGCGGCGUGCCUAAUACAUGCAAGUCGAACGCAUUUUCUUUCACCGUAGCUUGCUACACCGAAAGAAAAUGAGUGGCGAACGGGUGAGUAACACGUGGGUAACCUGCCCAUCAGCGGGGGAUAACACUUGGAAACAGAUGCUAAUACCGCAUAAUUCCAUUUACCGCAUGGUAGAUGGAUGAAAGGCGCUUUUGCGUCACUGAUGGAUGGACCCGCGGUGCAUUAGCUAGUUGGUGGGGUAACGGCCUACCAAGGCUGCGACGCAUAGCCGACCUGAGAGGGUGAUCGGCCACACUGGGACGGAGCCACGGCCCAGACUCCUACGGGAGGCAGCAGUAGGGAAUCUUCGGCAAUGGACGCAAGUCUGACCGAGCAACGCCGCGUGAGUGAAGAAGGUUUUCGGAUCGUAAAACUCUGUUGUUAGAGAAGAACAAGGAUGAGAGUGGAAAGUUCAUCCCUUGACGGUAUCUAACCAGAAAGCCACGGCUAACUACGUGCCAGCCGCCGCCGUAACAC